UUCUUCAUCAAACUAUCAUCUUAUCUUCUAAUCUCAUUCUCGUCUCAUCGGCGCCGACCGACCUUAAGCUCUCCAUCUUCAGCAGAGUUAAAUCAUCCACCGAGUGUUUCAAUUUCAGCAAAGGUAUUUGAUUAAAUAAAUCCAAAGUUCAUAUUACAACUCCCAAAAUUCCAGCAAAAUUUUAAUUGAGGUAAAAAGCAUGAGCACGUAUCCAGCCAGAGGUCGUACUGAAACGGAAAAAAAUUAAUCUAUGCGGAUGCUAAUUACUAAUUAGGAAUUCCAGAACGCGUUUAUAAGUCCAAUUAUUCUAUGUUAAGCAAAGUUAACAACUUUCAACGUGAAGGUGAUUCUGUUGCCAUUCCUCAUUAGUUGAAGUUGAUUGUAUUUAGGAGAUUUUCAUGGAGGAGGAAGUAAACUGCCAAUCCGAUUACAAUUUUGACCAUGAAGUCAGUAAACAUUUGGUCAACGUCCUUUGUUCACUGAUGUGUCAAUUGUUCCACCCAUGGAUGUGAAUGCGAACAUUGAAUUAAUGGUUUUGUCUAAUAGCAUCGUGGUUCCUUCUUGCGGGUAAGAAUUUGAUGAAUGAAUGCAAACAUUUGGUCCACGUCCUUUCGUCUGAUAGCAUCUUGGUUCCUUCUUGCGGGUAAGAAUUUGAUGAGAUAAUGACUGUUUCCGAAUAUGAAGAGGAAACUUGUUUGUCAAGCGACCUGUUUGAGUUCCCGGUUUUGACAGAAGAGCCUAAGAGAGACUGUGAUUGAAGCGUUGUCUGCAGUAUCUGCAUUCGGUUUUCAAAGGGGAGAAAAAAGGAGAGAAAGUUUCUUAAGAGUGAACCGAUUCAGAUUCUCUGGUCUUUUUGUUAUUCUCACAUGGAGAAAUCAGAGAAAAGGGCGUUCAAGCUUGUGCAGACGAUUUCGGUGUUUUCAAGACUCUGGAUUAUAAAGCUAAAGCCACGUUUGAUCAAUCUGGGAUCGAUAAUUCAAUCAUUUUGGUUACUUGGGAGUGAAGAUUAUAUUUCGACAUGGUGUUAUGAAGAAACCCUUAUAUUCUUUUUGUUAAUUCUAACUUUUGUCUCGUCGUUAGUCAAUUGGAAUAUCAAGUUCAAAUAUACAAUUCUCACAACACAAAUCACUCUUUCUAGUAUUUUAAUCAUAUGGGAAAUGUGAUUACAAAGACCUGACAUGCUGAAGAAGUUAUACUCUACAGAUAAUAAUCUCCUAGUCGAAAAUUGCACAGAGCCGUAGGACAAUGACAUUAACUCUACCCCGAUUAUUAUUACUUAACUAUGGUAACUUUUCCAAGAGGCCUGCUAUCUUCUCUUGGAGGGUGUUGAGCUCCAUUUGUAUCAUUACCCUCCCCUUUGAAAUUUACCUUGUCCUCAAGGUUGAAGAGUGGAAACUGCCCCUUAAUUGUA